rnacentral:rRNA from 1 species
CAGCAGCCGCGGGAAUACGUAGGUGGCAAGCGUUGUCCGGAAUUAUUGGGCGUAAAGGGCUCGCAGGCGGUUUCUUAAGUCUGAUGUGAAAGCCCCCGGCUCAACCGGGGAGGGUCAUUGGAAACUGGGAAACUUGAGUGCAGAAGAGGAGAGUGGAAUUCCACGUGUAGCGGCGAAAUGCGUAGAGAUGUGGAGGAACACCAGUGGCGAAGGCGACUCUCUGGUCUGUAACUGACGCUGAGGAGCGAAAGCGUGGGGAGCGAACAGGAUUAGAUACCCCGGUAGUCCCUGUCUCUUAUAC